rnacentral:lncRNA from 1 species
CACACGUGCUGGCAUGCCUGCCGUGUCCGUGUGUACCUGUGUGGGUGCCACGUGCACGGUGAGCAGUGAGCUCCGGGAUACCCGGGGGAGGGGACGGCUCAUCUGGGGAAGCUGCCAUUCCUGCUGUAGGGGACACUGCCCGGUCCGGCCCCGGCACAUCGAGCACCAGAGCCAUCCACGCAGGUGCUCCUGUCCCUCCCCAGCCCACUUCUGCUCUGAGGGCUUCCUUGUGGCUCAUUGUCAGGAUCUUCUGUUUUCCAGGAAUCCCCUGCUUUGUAGUGAUAGAGACGCUCAGGGUUCAAGAGAGCAGGAUUUCUCGGAAACAGUGACCCGCAUCAUCCUAGGAAGCCCCAGCAACCACAUCCUUGGUGUGAUUGGCACUGAGGCUGCCAGGGUGCUGCCAUCGCUGCUGUGCACUUGGCUGGGUAGCCCAGCUGGGAUCCUGGCCCAGCUACAUUGCAAGGACUUCCCAACCUAGCAAAACUCCAGGUCAGAGCUAAGAAGGCAGAGAAGAUAACCUGUACCCUUUCCAGAGCCCCUGGUGGCCGAGGGUGCCAUGACCUCAUAGAGCUGCCUCCCAGGGGUCUGUGGUGGCCCGGCCCUGCUCCCCAGCCUGCCCUGGCAGCCCCGGGGCUCACAGCCCUUCCCAAAGCUUCUCCUGUCUUGGAUUCAGAGGUACUGAGUCAGGAAUACACCAUCUCCCUCAGGUGCCACAGGACUGCUGCAGCCCAAGAGAUGUGGUCUCCUCCAAGCAAGCCUGUUCCCCACGUCUGGGGCUGGCUCAUAGCAGAGCCUGCUCCGCGAGCAGGAGGGUCCUCUAGGCUUCUCUGCCGGGCCUCCUCCCCAGUGUGCGUGUGACUCUGCAAGUCCUAUUUCCUUGGAGUCCUGCAGAGUCAGUCUGGAGUCACGAUAGUUGCUCCCCUCCGCAGAGGGUCACCCCACCCCGGGGUGUCUGCUCUCCUACCUGCCGGCAGCACCCCCUACACCUGGUCAAAUCCUCAUCUCCAGCACCGCACCCGCUCCUGGCUCUGAGUCCCCCAGCUCUUGCUGUCUGAGCUAAGCCCCACCUCCUCCCUGUUGUGGCCAUCUGGACCCCUUGGGGAGGGUCUAGAGCAGUGUUCCUCGCAGUCUGAGCAAGUGUUGGAAUAACUUCCCUUUAUAAGCAAUGUGAUCAAGUGAUAAAAAUGUGACCAAAACACACGUGCAUCUGCUCAGAUGGUGCUGUGUCUCCUGAGUUUGCCUCUGAGUUGCACCAACUGCCGGGACAGCCACCGUGGAGGUCCCCAGCAAUGCUGAGUCGUGGCAGGUGGCUACUGCGGCCGAGUCUCCCAAAGCCAGGUGCAUCUCGGGGAGGCCCUGCCUGGGACGUGGCAUGAGCUCCUGGCCCUCAGUGCUCACAGCCAGCUCCCUUCAGCAGCUCUGGCCCCCACCUCUCUGUCGGCCGCAGAUGGAGAGGAACCACCCUGGAGGGCUGGCGGUGCCCACUCACAGGAGGCCCAUCUCACGUGCCACAUGGACCGCAAGAUGUGACUCUGGGCCACUGGGAGCCCAGGGACUCUACAGAUCUGGCUCACUCCUUCCCCUGCUCAUGGGAACGGAGCCACUGGGCUAAAUCUCUCAGCACCCACAGAAGUGUGAGCCGAGGGAGCUCCCUUCCCAACUGGGGCAUCCCAGAGGCUCAUGGCCAAAGGAGCCAGCACCGUGUUUUCACUGUUAUUUCUUGCAGUUGAGAGAGAAGCAUCUUCUACAGGUUCAUUGUGGGAGGAGGAAAAAAUAAGCUGUGACCUGGUGGGGGAUUUUAAAAAUAAGUCUCGGGUGAUGUGUUUAAUGCCCACCCCAUGGGGCUCCUUGGCCCAUAACUCAGGAGCACAAUGGCUUUUCUUGUUAUGAAUGAGCACGAGGUGCCAGCAGAGGAAAUAGGAAGCCCCCAAUGUAGGCUGAAUGGACCUGUGAACAGGGAUAAUAAAAGUUGUCCUGGAUUUCCGUUACCACCAGGUGUUUCCGCAGCCGGGACUUCCAUUCAUACAGGCUCAGGGGCGGCCACUGCUGCCAAACCUCCCUGCCGACCCCUCGCCCAGACCCCGACCUCCCCACUCGGGUCUGGGACCCUGAGGUCUGGGGUAGAUGCAUCCUGAUCCCAGCAGGCCCAGCUCUGGAGUCUGUUCCCGAGCAGAGAUGGCAGGGGUGGUGAGCAGGCCCUGCCGGUCACAGCUCCCCUUGAAGGCCACCGUCCCCUCGGUUUCCACAGUGGGGCUCAGGAGAGGCACCCAGUGCACACAGAGACAGGUGGCUGCCAGCAGUGGUGACCGGGACACGCAGGCCAGGUCCCCAGCAGCAGAGGAGGGGGUGGGAAACUGACAAGGGCCGUGCCUUCUCCGGGAGGCUGGGACGCGCCAGGCUGAGCCGCCCCUCCCGUGACCUUGAGCAUGUCCCCCACAUCACCGCCUCUACCCCUCCGCUCCUCAGCUCUCAGAUGAGCUAAGCUGGUGCGAAGACUCCAACCAAGGAGCACAGGAGCCUUGCGUCCCAAAUGCCCACCUGAACCAGGAUGGACGCCUGGAGGAGCCCUGGUGCAGGACAGCAGGGCAGGGGUGGGGAUCGGAGGGGCCGGGUCCGCCCUGCCCGCGGUGUUCCCCGCGGUGUAUUGCAUCAUGGCGGACCCCAGAGUCACGCUGUCCACUGACUGCCGACAGCCCUCUCCUUGUCAGAUGCUGGGGGCACCGCUGGAUGAGAAGUCGAGCGUGGCUCCAUCACCGUACUCAAGCAGAUUCCCAGGCACACGGUCCCAGCCGGAAGAGCCCUGCUCUCCUGAAAAGGGAGGAGGCCUUCGCCUGAGGUGGAAACACGUCACGGACUCCUGGGCUCUCCACGGUGGAGAUGGUUUCCCGUGAGACCCGCGGAGCAGACAGGAGGUCCAGGGCCAGCUGGGCCCCGGCCUUGCUCAGAGGAUGCAUCACACCUACCAGGAGACAGGGCUGUCUACCCCGAGGGCCUCCUGGCCUGUCCCACACCACACCCCAGGGACCCUGCCUCGUCUGCGCAGACAUCUGACCUUGGUAGUCACCGGACGUCACCAGGGACCUGUCUGCAGUCACAGCUUUGCUGGGAGCUGGGAGCGCCGAGCCCCACCACCCCCAUGCCUGCCUUUGUGGUCCUGUCCUGAGGAGAGGGUGGGGAGUCCUGUGGUCCGUGUGUCCUCUGAUCCUCAGAGGUGCAGAGCAGCCCUCUUGAUGGGGUUGCUCAGGGUGCGUCUUCCAGUGUGGCCCUGUUCUGAGCUGCGUCUCCCUUGGUCACCCAGGGCCUAGAAUUAUGCACAGAGACAUCAGAGACAACUGCAUCGUCACAUCCCCCAAGGCCCUGAAUGGGGUGCUGGUAACAAAGAUGAGAUGGAAACAGACCCCGGCCUUCAAGCGAAACGAGGGACUGUGUAUUCUCCCGUCUCCUAUUUUUGGUCCAGUGACUGAGGCUGAAAGAAAGCACAGAGCUCUGUAACCCCAAGGCUCACAGAGGCCCGGGGGCUGUCAGAAUGGCACAGAACAUCCUUAGUCCUCAGGGCCAGGAAGCCGGGUCUGCAGGAAACUGUCCACCACCAAGGCAUGGCCGGAAGGGUAGAGCCACUGGGGACAUUCACUGGGUGUGCAGCACCGCCGAGUAGAGGAGGGAGACAUCUAUGCCAGGGUGGAGGAGGUGAGGCUGUGGACAAAGGCUCCAGUCCCAGCUCCCAGAGGGGCAGGGGAGAGAGACAGACUGGAGAGACCAGCCCACGUGGUACCCCACUGUGUGCCCCGGAACUCACCCCUGCAGCGAGUUGCUUACUUGUGGUUCUACUUGCUGCUGCUUCUCACUAGAAAUCUGCCCAGAACAUCUUGUCCUCACCAUCCCUCUGGAGCCCAGAAGGGCACUGGCUGAACCUCAAUAAAUGUCUGUGGACAGAGAAUAUGUUCUUGGUGUCACUGUCCCCAAGGUAUCGUAGGAGGAAAGGGA